rnacentral:lncRNA from 1 species
AGUGCCCCCAUCAACAACUCUCUGCUGGUGGAUGGGCAUGUUCUGGUCACUGGUGAUGACACAGAUGGUAUCCAUCUCUAGGACCAGUGGAAGGAGGGCCUCUUAAUGGAUAUGAGGUAGCAUGAGGAGUACAUUGAAGACAUGGCUCUGUAUCCAGCUGAGAAGCUGCUGCUGAUAGCCAGCUACAACCUCAAAGCUGCCUUCCCUCCCCAUGUUCAAUAUCUUCCUGAAGGGGAACUUGUGGCUAAGACUGUUGCCCUACUUUCUACAGUGGAAAUGGCUACCUUGGCAUUUUCAAAAUCAAGAGAUGUUGGUUUGAGUUG